rnacentral:rRNA from 1 species
CCUACGGGCGGCAGCAGUGGGGAAUAUUGGUCAAUGGGCGGAAGCCUGAACCAGCCAAGUAGCGUGCAGGAUGACGGCCCUACGGGUUGUAAACUGCUUUUAUACGGGAAUAACGCGCCUUACGUGUAGGGCUUUGCAUGUACCGUAUGAAUAAGGACCGGCUAAUUCCGUGCCGGCAGCCGCGGUAAUACGGAAGGUCCGGGCGUUGUCCGGAUUUAUUGGGUUUAAAGGGAGCGUCGGCCGCCGGUCAAGCGUGCUGGUAAAUGUCCGGGCUCAACCCGGGCCUUGCAGCGCGAACUGGCGGGCUUGAGUCCGCGGAAAGCAGGCGGAAUUCGUCGUGUAGCGGUGAAAUGCUUAGAUAUGACGAAGAACCCCGAUUGCGAAGGCAGCUUGCUGCAGCGGAACUGACGCUGAUGCUCGAAAGCGCGGGUAUCGAACAGGAUUAGAUACCCUUGUAGUC